AUCGCUUCUCGGCCUUUUGGCUAAGAUCAAGUGUAGUAUCACUACAAUGUGAAGCAUCUCUGAGGGUUCAUUCCUAUGGUUAUUUGCUGCCUCUGGUUUGGCAAGUUUUUCAGUAACUUUCUUCCUGUUAACAUCACUUAGCUCAACCUGCUAAGUGGAAGGCCU
rnacentral:snRNA from 1 species